UUUAUUUAUAUUUUUAAAAUAAAUUUUCUAUUUGUGGAUUUUUUAACAUGUACCUUUGAGACACAAGUUAACAUUACCCUUGAAAUGUCCUUGGACACAAGUUAGCAUUACCCUUAAAAAAAAAAAAAAAAGAAUAUAUUUUUUAACAUGUACCUUUGAGACACAAGUUAACAUUACCCUUGAAAUGUCCUUGGACACAAGUUAGCAUUACCCUUAAAAAAAAAAAAAAAAGAAUAUAUUUUUUAACAUGUACCUUUGAGACACAAGUUAACAUUACCCUUGAAAUGUCCUUGGACACAAGUUAGCAUUACCCUUAAAAAAAAA
rnacentral:lncRNA from 1 species